AACUGUUGUAGUCUAAUUGGUUAGAAUAUUUGGUUCGCAUCCAAAAAGACCUUGGGUUCAAGUCCCAGCGAUGGAAA
rnacentral:tRNA from 1 species